rnacentral:rRNA from 1 species
CUCGCAAGAGCAAAGCAGGGGACCUUCGGGCCUUGCGCUACCGGAUACGCCCAGGUGGGAUUAGCUAGUUGGUGAGGUAAGGGCUCACCAAGGCGACGAUCCCUAGCUGGUCUGAGAGGAUGAUCAGCCACACUGGAACUGAGACACGGUCCAGACUCCUACGGGAGGCAGCAGUGGGGAAUAUUGCACAAUGGGCGCAAGCCUGAUGCAGCCAUGCCGCGUGUAUGAAGAAGGCCUCGG